CCGGCCUCAUGCAGCUGCCGUUGAGUUCCUUGCUCUUAGCAUGCGGGGCGGCGUUGCCCAGGGAUUGCAGCGAGCACGCCGAGCGCUGGUAGUCACCCUCCAGAGUCUCAUCUGAAGGAAAGACAGAACUCCCGAAAGAGACAGAAGGAAGAAGCACGCUGAGCAGAGAGCCUUCUUAUGUCAGGGAUCCUCUCACCUCACAGAGACAAUAACAACGGCCUGACCUAGAAACUUCCUGAAGACCUUUCACCUCCCGAACCAGAGGAACUGGGCCUUUCCGGGCGUCCCUGCAUGUCCCUGCUCCAGUUUGUUUCCUUUGAUUCCUUCAACAGAAGAAAAGAAGAAAGAAACUGGAUAACUGCUGGACUUUUCUACCAAGAGAUGGGAAAAGACUUUCUAAAAGAGAAAAAAAAAAUUCCCUAGGAAAAAAAGAAAGUCAACAAAGCAAUUUGAACAAUAUUAUUCUCUGGGCUGGAAACAGGGUACCCCUGUUUACUAAA